rnacentral:snRNA from 1 species
AGCUUUGCACAGUGGCAGUAUUGUAGCCAAUGAGGUUUAUCCAAGGCACUAUUAUUGCUGAUUGAAAACUUUUCCCAGUACCCUGCCAUGAUGAGUUGAAAUAUAGUCGGCAUUGGCAAUUUUUGACCAAUGCCAAAAAUUUGG